ACUAUAUGUAACUUUUAAAUCUGAAACUGUGUAAUUCUUCAUCUGAUGAUGAUAAAUGACCUUUGACAGCAAACGAGACUGACAGUGAAAAGAACACUAUUUUUUACAUAGUUUUAAUUAGUGCCUCUGCCUGGGUCCGAUUUUUUCCUACAAAGUCACAAACUGAUUUAGGGCAGGUAGACGGCACUACAGAGCACACAAUCUGAAGGGUCACAGAUUUCUUUGUAACACUGGAAAAGCCUAUGCUAGUAAGCAUUCAGCCAGGUAAAAAGUAGCAGGAUAUUUCUUUAUACAGGCCUAAUUGUAUU